rnacentral:rRNA from 1 species
CGGCGAGUGAAGCGGGAAGAGCUCAAAUUUGAAAUCGUGUCAGGGAGACCUGGUCGCGAGUUGUAGUUUGAUGGGGUAUGCUUGGUGGGCGCCUAGGUCUAAGUCCCUUGGAAAAGGGUAUCAUAGAGGGUGACAAUCCCGUCUGUGGCCUAGUCAGCGGUCCACCGUGUAAGCUACCUUCAAAGAGUCGGGUUGUUUGGGAAUGCAGCCCUAAGCUGGUGGUAAAUUCCAUCUAAAGCUAAAUAUCCGUGAGAGACCGAUAGCGAACAAGUACCGUGAGGGAAAGUUGAAAAGCACUCUGGAGAGAGAGUCAAACAGCACGUGAAAUUGUUAACAGGGAAACGUUGGGCACCAGUACGCGCCUCGCGUGAAAUCAACCAUCCUUUCCCCAAGGGUUUGCCUCGGUGGAGUGAGCCUUAACCAGCCACUUGCCGGGGCGUGCCCGAGGGGGGUGGUGCACUUUUGCGUGGGCGGGUCAACAUCGGUUAGGACCGUCGUAAACGGCCCUGGGGAAGGUAGGUUCCGCCCUUGUGGUGGAACAACUUAUAGCCCCGGGGAUUGCCUACGGUGAUCUUGACCGUGGAUUCGCGAUCCGUGCUCCCCUCGGGGGGCAGGUCCCUUUGGCCCUCGUUGGUCCCCUUGGCCUAGGCAGCUUGCUGACUAGGUCGGGUGUGGAUUGCGAUGUCUGGCCGGAGUAGGGCUCUAACGGGUCACGGACGUUGGCGAAAUGGUUCUCAACGACCCGUCUUGAAACACGGACCAAGGAGUCUAACAUGUGUGCGAGUAUUUGGGUGCUAAACCCGGAUGCGCAAUGAAAGUGACCACAGGGGGGAAGGGUAGGCUCUUUACGGGGCCUGCCCCGCACCCUCGACCGAUCUGAUUGCCCUCGUGGCGACGGGUUUGAGUUGGAGCAUAUCUGUUAGGACCCGAAAGAUGGUGAACUAUGCCUGAGUAGGAUGAAGCCAGAGGAAACUCUGGUGGAGGUCCGUAGCGAUUCUGACGUGCAAAUCGAUCGUCGAACUUGGGUAUAGGGGCGAAAGACUAAUCGAACCAUCUAGUAGCUGGUUCCCGCCGAAGUUUCCCUCAGGAUAGCAGAAACGCGUGGCAGUAUUAUGAGGUAAAGCGAAUGAUUAGAGGCCUUGGGGGCGAAAUGCCCUUAACCUAUUCUCAAACUUUAAAUAUGUAAGAGGUCCCUGCCGCUUCGGUGGGCUCGGACGUUGUCGUAUGUGCGUUUCUAGUGGGCCAUUUUUGGUAAGCAGAACUGGCGAUGUGGGAUGAACCAGACGGGAGGUUAAGGUGCCGGAAUGUACGCUCAUGUAGACACCACAAAAGGUGUUGGUUCAUCUAGACAGCAGGACGGUGGCCAUGGAAGUCGGAAUCCGCUAAGGAGUGUGUAACAACUCACCUGCCGAAUGAACUAGCCCUGAAAAUGGAUGGCGCUCAAGCGUGCUACCCAAACCUCCCCGCCAUGGGUUAAUGCGAGGCCCUGGCGAGUAGGCGGGCGUGGGGGUUGUGAAGAAGC